GAUGAACGCUGGCGGCGUGCCUAAUACAUGCAAGUCGAGCGAAGCGGCGGACGGGUGAGUAACACGUGGGUGACCUGCCCUGCACUUCGGGAUAAGCCUGGGAAACUGGGUCUAAUACCGGAUAGUGUGGGAUGGGCCCGCGGCCUAUCAGCUUGUUGGUGGGGUAAUGGCCUACCAAGGCGGCGACGGGUAGCCGGCCUGGGAGGGUGGACGGCCACAUGGGGACUGAGACACGGCCCAGACGCCUACGGGAGGCAGCAGUGGGGAAUAUUGCACAAUGGGCGGAAGCCUGAUGCAGCGACGCCGCGUGGGGGAUGACGGCCUUCGGGUUGUAAACUCCUUUCACCAUCGACGCGGUAGAUGGAGAAGAAGCACCGGCUAACUACGUGCCAGCAGCCGCGGUAAUUC
rnacentral:rRNA from 1 species